rnacentral:rRNA from 1 species
UACGGAGGAUGCGAGCGUUAUCCGGAUUUAUUGGGUUUAAAGGGUGCGUAGGCGGACUGUCAAGUCAGCGGUAAAAUUGAGAGGCUCAACCUCUUCUCGCCGUUGAAGCUGGUGGUCUUGAGUGGAUGAGAAGUACGCGGAAUGCGUGGUGUAGCGGUGAAAUGCAUAGAUAUCACGCAGAACUCCGAUUGCGAAGGCAGCGUACCGGCAUCCAACUGACGCUGAGGCACGAAAGCGUGGGGAUCAAACAGG